rnacentral:lncRNA from 1 species
GGAGGUGUCUGUGGGUAGGGAAGGUAACUCACUUCAGAGUGACUACUACAUUAGUCUCCUAGCGCUGCCCUCACGAAGUACGACAGGUUCAAUGGCCUAAAACAACAGAAAUGUAUCUUUUCACAGGCCAGGAGGCUAGCAUUCGACAUCCAGAUGGCCAUAUGGUUGCUUCUGAGGGCUGUGAAGGAGACAUUCCCACGCCAUGAGGAGCUUCCGCAAGGAUAGCCAGCAAUCCUGGCCAUUCUCUCAUUACAGAUGCACCACUCCAAGGUCCAUCCCAUGGUCCUGGCACUGGUGUGUGGGCUGAGGACGCAGCACCAGCGAGCUUCAGAGAGUGUUGAGACUGACAGCUAGUUAACUUUGACAAACGCCCUGUGAAGUGGGCUCUCUGAUGGAAUCCAUGCUGUGAUGAUGGGGUACACAGAGAUCUUC